rnacentral:rRNA from 1 species
GACGAACGCUGGCGGCGUGCUUAACACAUGCAAGUCGAACGGAAAGGCCCUGCUUUUGUGGGGUGCUCGAGUGGCGAACGGGUGAGUAACACGUGAGUAACCUGCCCUUGACUUUGGGAUAACUUCAGGAAACUGGGGCUAAUACCGGAUAGGAGCUCCUGCUGCAUGGUGGGGGUUGGAAAGUUUCGGCGGUUGGGGAUGGACUCGCGGCUUAUCAGCUUGUUGGUGGGGUAGUGGCUUACCAAGGCUUUGACGGGUAGCCGGCCUGAGAGGGGGACCGGCCACAUUGGGCCUGCGAUACGGCCCAGACUCCUACGGGAGGCAGCAGUGGGGAAUAUUGCACAAUGGGCGGAAGCCUGAUGCAGCAACGCCGCGUGCGGGAUGACGGCCUUCGGGUCGUAAACCGCUUUCGCCUGUGACGAAGCGUGAGUGACGGUAAUGGGUAAAGAAGCACCGGCUAACUACGUG